rnacentral:piRNA from 1 species
UGGUUCACCUAUUUCCACAGCCUCAAUGU